AUGACUUUGAUCUGCGUCCUCAUCUGGACUCUCCUCUGCCUCUGCUUCACAGAGUCCAGAGGACAGAUCACAGUGACUCAGCCUGGAGCAGUGAGCUCUGCUGUGGGAGGAUCUGUCACCAUCAAGUGUAGGACCAGUCAGGAUGUUUAUGUUUCUGGCAGUUCUCAUCUUUUAUUUUGGUACCAACAGAAAGAUGGAGGAGUUCCUAAACUGCUCAUUUACUGGUCUAGCACUCGACAAUCAGGGAUUCCAGCUCGUUUUACAGGCAGUGGAUCAAACUCUGACUUCACUCUGACCAUCAGUGGAGUCCAGGCUGAAGAUGCAGCAGUUUAUUACUGUCAGAGUCGGCACUAUCCUAACAGUCAGUGGGUGUUCACACAGUGAAAAACAGUCAUACAAAAACCUCCCUCAGUCAGACUGAACAGAAACUGAACUGACUGCUGCAGCUGGAAGAUACUUGCAGAGACUGACACAGUUCACUGAGGACACACACACACACACACACACACACACAGUUUAACAAAUUCUUAAGUUACAAUUGAACACAAUUUUCCUGUGCUCAUAACAGUGAGCAAUGUGCUCAUUGCUCACUGUUACAUUUAGCUUUUGUUCAGUCCUCUCUGUUUAAGACUGUGAAGUGCAUGUUAAUAAUUUUACUGUUAUUGUCCAUAUUACUAUUGCAUUAAUUAUUAAUAGUGAUAUUGCAUUUAGAUGUUUAAACAUAUUGGCACCCAAUUAAGCUUUAUUACAGGUGCAGUUAUGUUGAGUUAUGUUACUGUUGAGUUGAACCUAUAAUCUUAAAUGCUUUUGAAUGCUUUUAUAAUCUUAAAUGUUUAUAUGCAGAAAAGGCCUAACGCUGAGUAACUCUGUGCUAAAAUAUGACAGGAAGUUACAUGUUUUUGAAGUUACAUGCUUUGCAGGAAGUGAAACCGAAACCAGAGUCUGAGUGAAAGUUAGUCUGAGGAGCAGUUUCGAUGAUGCUAUUAUCUUUUAUACUUUUAUAUCUUUUGAUUAAGCUUUUAGUAGAGGUUCUUGAGUAAAACAUUUAUUCAGUAGUGUACACAUACAUAGUUUUGGUUCGGUUAUUACAUACAUGAGAGCGGCUUCUGUCUCUCUGUCUGGUGAGAGUUCAGGAGCUAGUCGGCGAGGUGAAAUGGGGUUCAACUGUGGUUAGCACCCUAUGUGGUUAGCACAUAGACACACAUGUAACCACACACACACACACACACAGUUAGAGAGGUUCACUUGUAGGUGAAAGUUUAAUCAUGUUUUGCUUGUGGCUGGAAAAUUGUGCCUGUGUACGUGACUGUUUGAUGAAGAAGCAGGUGCACGAGGCGAGAGCUGAGUGGGCUUGCGGGAAACCACCGGGGAGAAGAUGGAAGCCAGUGUUCUUUUAAUUGUGUCACACGUUGUCAAAUAGAACAUUUGUGGUUUUGAGUUGACGUAUCCAUGUAAUUUACGCAAGAGGGGGCGUUCUAAUACCCCGAUGUAUAAAACUGUGUUCUGAAGUUUUGAAGAUAGAGAUCGAUGCUGUCGGCGCACAGAAUUCAUCUCUCCACAUGUGUCAUUAAAU